rnacentral:rRNA from 1 species
GAUGAACGCUGGCGGCGUGCCUAAUACAUGCAAGUCGAGCGAACAGACGAGGAGCUUGCUCCUCUGACGUUAGCGGCGGACGGGUGAGUAACACGUGGAUAACCUACCUAUAAGACUGGGAUAACUUCGGGAAACCGUAGCUAAUACCGGAUAAUAUAUUGAACCGCAUGGUUCAAUAGUGAAAGACGGUUUUGCUGUCACUUAUAGAUGGAUCCGCGCCGCAUUAGCUAGUUGGUAAGGUAACGGCUUACCAAGGCAACGAUGCGUAGCCGACCUGAGAGGGUGAUCGGCCAGACUGGAACUGAGACACGGUCCAGACUCCUACGGGAGGCAGCAGUAGGGAAUCUUCCGCAAUGGGGGAAAGCGUGACGGAGCAACGCCGCGUGAGUGAUGAAGGUCUUCGGAUCGUAAAACGAUGUUAUUAGGGAAGAACAAAUGUGUAAGUAACUAUGCACGUCUUGACGGUACCUAAUCAGAAAGCCACGGCUAACUACGUG